UACAGAGGGUGCGAGCGUUAAUCGGAAUUACUGGGCGUAAAGCGUGCGUAGACGGUCAUGAAAGUCGGAUGUGAAAGCCCCGGGCUCAACCUGGGAAUUGCAUUCGAGACUGCAUGGCUUGGGUGCGGAAGAGGGAAGCGGAAUUUCCGGUGUAGCGGUGAAAUGCGUAGAUAUCGGAAGGAACACCAGUGGCGAAAGCGGCUUCCUGGUCCGACACCGACGUUCAGGCACGAAAGCGUGGGGAGCAAACAGG
rnacentral:rRNA from 1 species